rnacentral:rRNA from 1 species
UACGUAGGGUGCAGGCGUUAAUCGGAAUUACUGGGCGUAAAGCGUGCGCAGGCGGUCUCUUAAGACAGGUGUGAAAUCCCCGGGCUUAACCUGGGAACUGCGCUUGUAACUGAGAGGCUUGAGUGUGCCAGAGGGGGGUGGAAUUCCACGUGUAGCAGUGAAAUGCGUAGAGAUGUGGAGGAACACCGAUGGCGAAGGCAGCCCCCUGGGCUAACACUGACGCUCAUGCACGAAAGCGUGGGGAGCAAACAGG